rnacentral:rRNA from 1 species
AUGAACGCUAGCGGCAGGCUUAAUACAUGCAAGUCGAGGGGCAGCAGUCCCGCAGCAAUGCGGGAGCUGGCGACCGGCAAACGGGUGCGGAACACGUACAGAACCUUCCUUCGAGCGGGGAAUAGCCCAGAGAAAUUUGGAUUAAUACCCCAUAGCAUUACGAAGUGGCAUCACUUUGUUAAUUAAAGAUUUAUCACUCGAAGAUGGCUGUGCGGCUGAUUAGGAGUUGGCGGAGUAACGGCCCACCAAGCCUUCGAUCAGUAACUGGUGUGAGAGCACGACCAGUCACACGGGCGACU